CCACUCUUACUGUCUCAAUAAAUAAGUAAUACAUAAAUACUUAAAAAAAUAAAAAAAAUAUCGAAUCCCAUCAAAACCAAAGAAAUACAUUCAUAAUUCAGCUAACUUAGACAAAUCAAACUUAAGUUUUAUUCUGUUUUAGGUCCCCUUCCAAAGAGAAGAAAUGCUGACAUAUUAUGGGAUUGAUUGUACCCCUAGAGACCUGCACAUUCUUGGGUUUCUCCAUUGACCUCUCCAUUGAACUACCCACUAGCUCGGGUUCACCGAAUCACAGUCAUCAAAAGUGCCGGUCACUGAGAAUCCAGACUGUAUGCCCAGCUCAAGGAAAAAGGAUCACCUUGCCAGGCUCUCUUGCAAGUAGGGGCAGUCAGGUGAUACUGCUAAUGAUGUUUAACUGGAAGUCAGCCAGGGGCUUUUCAAGCCCCAUUCAUGCCUUCUACAUGGAUUCAGGACUGGAGCAAAUACAGUUGUCUUGGGACUAUUAAGAGAAGGCCUAGAGAAUUUUAGAGACAUCAAGCUUGGCAUUGGUGAGCCAUUGAACAAACACCGACAGCUGCCUUGCCCUGGACUUCUUGCUGUAUCAGUGGACUUCUUGCUUCAUUUAUCAUCGAUUGAUGGAUGGAUGGAUAGAUAGAUAAAAUACCUAUUUGUUUGUUUAAAGCACUGCAUUUGUGUUGUCUGCUACUUGGAAUUGAGAGUAUUCCUAAUUGGUCAUUUGCCCACGGCCUUGAUUUACCAGUCAACAAAUACCGAUAGAGCUUUGGCCAUGUACCAUGUGAAGUUUUAGUCACAGGAUACAAAGGCUAGAACGGCAAGACGCUUCCACUGGAAUGAUGGGAGGACAGCUGUGUUGGGAAGCGUGGCCGGGGAUGACCUAACGCCUGAGCUCCGCUCUCAUCAUGUGCUUCUCUGAGGCUGAGGUGCUGACGUGGUGGUGGCAUCUGUGUUUGGUGAUUUAGCUGUUGAGAGAGAAGAGAUUCUAGAAUCUUCUGCCGAGUGAGUCUUUUCCCCUAAUGAGGAUAUUUGAUUCUUGAGUCCACCAAGCCACUGUGAGAAGAUCACACAGCCAUAUGUUUUAGAGUUUGAAAAGAUGAAGAAAUAGAGACUUAGUGAUAAAGGUAUUUUAUUCAAUUAUUUUUUUUUAAGGGUCAUGAUUCUCUUGAGGUCCACAGAUGAUUACUGAUGGAUCCUACCUCACCAGCAUUUAGUUCUGGUGGUGGUUCCAGUGGAGGAGAAGCAGUAAACUGGGUUCAUGGGAAACCGAGGGAUGAAGAGAAUGCCUUGCUAAGACUGAAAGUAUCCACCUGUGUCAGGACAGAGUCAUGGGUGACCUUCGCUUGAGUAGAUUUGUCAGAAGGGUGGGGGCAGAGAUCAGCUUGUGGAGGGGAGGCAAGGUGAUUCCAGGAAGGCAAGUGUUGACUUUGACAGUUUUCUCCUUCAAGGGUGAGUAGGGGUGCUGGGACCAGAAUUCACAUCUCCGAACUUUUGGAUUAUUACUCAUUCGACUAAAGCACACUGAGAGCUCAGUGAAUGGCAGAAUUCCAUCAGUGUCAAAAGCUUAGUAAUACACCAUUCUGUACUCCUCAGCAGGAGCAGCACACUUGAUCUCUCUAAGCCCUUGUUAGAGCUCGUUGACCUGAUUGCCCGACCUGGGCCAGGCCCCAGUGGGGCAGGCUCCUGUUCUUUGGCAUGGAAGGGCUCAGUGGAAGCAGGGAAUCUGGCCUUAUGUACAUACAGUAAAAAAAAAAAAAAAAAUUAACACUUAUCUCUGAGAGUGAGAGAGACAGAGCGUAAGCAGGG